rnacentral:rRNA from 1 species
CCGGACCUGACUGCUAUCGGAUUGAUACUAAGCCAUGCGAGUCAUUGUAGUAAUACAAGGCAUACGGCUCAGUAACGCGUAGUCAACCUAACCUAUGGACGGGAAUAACCUCGGGAAACUGAGUAUAAUGCCCGAUAGAACAUUAUGCCUGGAAUGGUUUAUGUUCCAAAUGAUUUAUCGCCGUAGGAUGGGACUGCGGCCUACCAGUUUGUUGGUGAGGUAAUGGCCCACCAAGACUAUUACAGGUACGGGCUCUGAGAGGAGUAGCCCGGAGAUGGGUACUGAGACACGGACCCAGGCCCUAUGGGGCGCAGCAGGCGAGAAAACUUUGCAAUGUGCGAAAGCACGACAAGGUUAAUCCGAGUGGUUUCUGCUAAAGGAACCUUUUGUUAGUCCUAGAAACACUAACGAAUAAGGGGUGGGCAAGUUCUGGUGUCAGCCGCCGCGGUAAAACCAGCACCUCAAGUGGUCAGGAUGAUUAUUGGGCCUAAAGCAUCCGUAGCCGGCUCUGUAAGUUUUCGGUUAAAUCUGUACGCUCAACGUACAGGCUGCCGGGAAUACUGCAGAGCUAGGGAGUGGGAGAGGUAGACGGUACUCGGGAGGAAGGGGUAAAAUCCUUUGAUCUCUCGAUGACCACCUGUGGCGAAGGCGGUCUACCAGAACACGUCCGACGGUGAGGGAUGAAAGCUGGGGGAGCAAACCGGAUUAGAUACCCGGGUAGUCCCAGCUGUAAACUAUGCAAACUCAGUGAUGCAUUGACUUGUGGUCAAUGCAGUGCUGCAGGGAAGCCGUUAAGUUUGCCGCCUGGGAAGUACGUACGCAAGUAUGAAACUUAAAGGAAUUGGCGGGGGAGCACCACAAGGGGUGAAGCCUGCGGUUCAAUUGGAUUCAACGCCGGG